rnacentral:tRNA from 1 species
GCCCAGGUAGCUCAGACUGGGAGAGCGUCCGGCUGAAGACCGGAUUGUCGUGAGUUCAAGUCUCACCCUGGGCACCA